GAACUUGUAGUUUGGCGGUGCGCUCUCCUUCUACAGUAUCUGAAGUAAACUCGAGCUGCGAAGACUACACAAAGCAGGAUUUUUUGAUUGAGCUGGCAGCUUUUUAAAGACUUGAGAGUUGAGUUGAGGAUGAAGAUAUGUAUGAAAAUAUUCAUCAUCCUUCUAUCAGUCAUAGUACUUCAUAUAGCAUACACUGAUAGUUGGGGCGUACGACUUCCUAGUCCUGGACGUAUAGUCAGGAGCACAGUGAGAGU